AGUUCUCUUGGAACAAGACGGAAGAGAGUCACUCUUACCGUCGCGCAUACCUUAAGCGGGUCUGCCGCCUUCGUUUCUCUUUCUUCAGCGAAUGACUUUGGAUCAGCGCUCGCGCGCCGUACCGCGGCCCUUUGGGCCGCUGGCGCUCCGCGAGGGCGCGGCAUAAGCCGCGACGGCCGGUCGGCCUUGCGAGGCUUUGCCUCGAGGUCACCAGCUCGUUACUGGCAGAGCGCGGUCUUUAGGGCUUGUAGCUCAGUUGGUUAGAGCGCGCGCUUGAUAAGCGUGAGGUCGGAGGUUCAAGUCCUCCCAGGCCCACCACUUCGCAAUCCGCAAGGAUUGUCGAAUCUCCUUGAUGCCUGCCAUCUUCUUGAUGGCUAAUCGGGACAACAAUCAGGGGCCGUAGCUCAGCUGGGAGAGCGCCUGCUUUGCAAGCAGGAUGUCGUCGGUUCGAUCCCGUCCGGCUCCACCACUUUCUUCUCUGGAAGAGAGGGUGUCGAGUAGAGAUGAGACAAAAGUCAUUCGAAAAAAGGUUUGUGGUGAGCUUCUUGGCUUGCCGCUUGUUCUGUUUGACAUCGUAAAGAGAAGAUUUGUUCGAACUUCAUGAUCCGAAAGGUUCAUGAUUUGUCGCGGGAGACGCUCAAUCUCCCGCAUAUGAUGGGUUUGCCUAACCGCGCCCUCGAACCGAUCUCGAGAAGCUGGUCUUUUUGUGUCAAUGACAUCGAAUUGGAUCCCGCACAGGAUCUGGUUCAGGCGACAAUCCUUCGGAUUGCGCGGACGCUAAGCUCGCAAGGGUUUGGCUGAAGCGACAAUCCUUCGGAUUGCGCAGAUGGGCAUUGGCAAUGAGAACGAUCAAGUGUCUUAAGGGCAAUUGGUGGAUGCCUUGGCAUGCACAGGCGAUGAAGGACGUGAUACGCUGCGAUAAGCUACGGGAGGUGCG
rnacentral:misc_RNA from 1 species